rnacentral:rRNA from 1 species
AAUGAACGCUGGCGGCAUGCCUAACACAUGCAAGUCGAACGAAGGCUUCGGCCUUAGUGGCGCACGGGUGCGUAACGCGUGGGAAUCUGCCCUCAGGUUCGGAAUAACAGCGAGAAAUUGCUGCUAAUACCGGAUGAUAUCGCGAGAUCAAAGAUUUAUCGCCUGAGGAUGAGCCCGCGUAGGAUUAGCUAGUUGGUGUGGUAAAGGCGCACCAAGGCGACGAUCCUUAGCUGGUCUGAGAGGAUGAUCAGCCACACUGGGACUGAGACACGGCCCAGACUCCUACGGGAGGCAGCAGUGGGGAAUAUUGGACAAUGGGCGAAAGCCUGAUCCAGCAAUGCCGCGUGAGUGAUGAAGGCCUUAGGGUUGUAAAGCUCUUUUACCCGGGAUGAUAAUGACAGUACCGGGAGAAUAAGCUCCGGCUAACUCCGUGCCAGCAGCCGCGGUAAUACGGAGGGAGCUAGCGUUAUUCGGAAUUACUGGGCGUAAAGCGCACGUAGGCGGCUUUGUAAGUUAGAGGUGAAAGCCUGGAGCUCAACUCCAGAAUUGCCUUUAAGACUGCAUCGCUUGAAUCCAGGAGAGGUGAGUGGAAUUCCGAGUGUAGAGGUGAAAUUCGUAGAUAUUCGGAAGAACACCAGUGGCGAAGGCGGCUCACUGGACUGGUAUUGACGCUGAGGUGCGAAAGCGUGGGGAGCAAACAGG